CGAGUUACCGCUCCUUAUAACCCUUUGUGAACAUACCCCAAACGUUGCCUCGGCGGGCAGCCGGAGCCCAGCUCCGUCGCCCGGAGCCGCCGUUUCGGCGCGCCCCACCCGCCGGCGGACCACCAAACUCUAUUUAAACGACGUCUCUUCUGAGUGGCACAAGCAAAUAAUCA
rnacentral:misc_RNA from 1 species